rnacentral:rRNA from 1 species
GACGAACGCUGGCGGCGUGCCUAACACAUGCAAGUCGAACGCGUCUGUGCUUCGGCACAGAUGAGUGGCGAACGGGUGAGUAACGCGUGAGUAACUCCCCUUGGGGAGGGGGAUAACCAUCUGAAAAGGUGGCUAAUACCCCAUAUUCUCUUUUCUCAUAAGAGGAAGGAGGAAAGGUGGCGCAAGCUGCCACCCCGAGAGAGGCUCGCGUCCCAUCAGCUAGUUGGUAGGGUAAUGGCCUACCAAGGCUAUGACGGGUAGCUGGUCUGAGAGGAUGGUCAGCCACACUGGGACUGAGACACGGCCCAGACUCCUACGGGAGGCAGCAGUGAGGAAUCUUGGGCAAUGGGCGAAAGCCUGACCCAGCGACGCCGCGUGGAGGAAGAAGGCCUUCGGGUCGUAAACUCCUGUUUGGGAGAAGAACAAGAGAGAAGUUAAUAGCUUCUCUCUCUGACGGUAUCCCCGGAGAAAGCUCCGGCUAAUUACGUGCCAGCAGCCGCGGUAAA